UGGGGAAUAUUGCACAAUGGGCGCAAGCCUGAUGCAGCCAUGCCGCGUGUGUGAAGAAGGCCUUCGGGUUGUAAAGCACUUUCAGCGGGGAGGAAGGCGAUAAGGUUAAUAACCUUGUCGAUUGACGUUACCCGCAGAAGAAGCACCGGCUAACUCCGUGCCAGCAGCCGCGGUAAUACGGAGGGUGCAAGCGUUAAUCGGAAUUACUGGGCGUAAAGCGCACGCAGGCGGUUGAUUGAGUCAGAUGUGAAAUCCCCGGGCUUAACCCGGGAAUUGCAUCUGAUACUGGUCAGCUAGAGUCGUGUAGAGGGGGGUAGAAUUCCAUGUGUAGCGGUGAAAUGCGUAGAGAUGUGGAGGAAUACCGGUGGCGAAGGCGGCCCCCUGGACAAAGACUGACGCUCAGGUGCGAAAGCGUGGGGAGCAAACAGG
rnacentral:rRNA from 1 species